GGUUUGAAAAAGGAAAUCAUAACUUUGUAACGUAGCAGACGACAAUAAAUUUUAAAGUGGAAAUUUGCGACUUCCGGUGUGUCUGCUACUCGAUGUUGUGAUCUUAGUUACUUCCCCUGACGUUCAGUAUAUGAAAUGAGGGUCGAGUUUCAGGAUUUGAAAUUAAGAAAGAACGAAAGAUAUGAAAUGAGCACCGGCAAACUGAUCUUGGCAUGUCACAUCCUUAUCACAGAACUGGAACCUACUGAUUAUGAUGAGGUAAAAGUAUAU